rnacentral:SRP_RNA from 1 species
GCUGGGCACGGUGGCUCAAGCCUGUAAUCCCAGCACUUUGGGAGGCCGAGACGGGCGGAUCACGAGGUCAGGAGAUCGAGACUAUCCUGGCUAACUCGGUGAAACCCCGUCUCUACUAAAAAAUACAAAAAACUGGCCGGGCGAGGUGGCGGGCGCCUGUAGUCNNNNNNNNNNGACUACAGGCGCCCGCCACCUCGCCCGGCCAGUUUUUUGUAUUUUUUAGUAGAGACGGGGUUUCACCGAGUUAGCCAGGAUGGUUUCGAUCUCCUGACCUCGUGAUCCGCCCGUCUCGG